rnacentral:lncRNA from 1 species
GCUCCGGCCCAGCGCGGGAGAGGCGCGCGCGUGCUGCGUUCGCUGCUCCGGGGGCUGGUAGAGGGGCCUGGGGCUAGCGCGCACCCGCGAGGGUGGAAGGUCUGGAGAUCCGGGAUGGGGAACUGGGUCCUUCGUUUUAAAAGGUGCCUCUCUACACGGAGGGAGGGGAGCACGUGAUUUUUGGAGCUAAUCCUAGCUCUCAUAUUCCAUGAAUGUAGCCAAACGCUAAAACUAGUUGGCCUACCCAGUUUUGUGGGACUGGAAACCAGCGUGGUGGAGCCAGGACCGAUAAGCCAAUUAACAAGCGUUUGCUACAGUGACUCAGUGUACUGCUUACCAAGUAACAUACACGACUGUCCUAAUCUUCCACCAAAUAGGAGAGGUGGGCAAGGCAUUGUUUCCGACAUUUGGUAGCUGACUGGUCAAAUGGAGACAUAGGGAUGAAGGGAUAUGUUUACAAUCACAGGAAGUGGAGCCUGGAAUUAAAACUCAGUGGAGGCAAGAUAAAUGGCAGGAGGAAGAUAACGUGAACUGGAUGAUGAAGGUUGGCUUCCCAGGGGUGGCAAGUGGCCCCUGCAUGAGAUUUACAUGGGGAGAAAUACGAAGUCAGUGUAGGAACCUUCAAAGUCCAGUGAAAUGGGGCUGAGUGUUCUUGGGGGAAGGGCAGGUGGAAAG